UACGAAGGGGGCUAGCGUUGCUCGGAAUCACUGGGCGUAAAGCGCACGUAGGCGGCUUCUUAAGUCAGGGGUGAAAUCCUGGAGCUCAACUCCAGAACUGCCUUUGAUACUGAGAGUCUUGAGUUCGGGAGAGGUGAGUGGAACUGCGAGUGUAGAGGUGAAAUUCGUAGAUAUUCGCAAGAACACCAGUGGCGAAGGCGGCUCACUGGCCCGAUACUGACGCUGAGGCACGAAAGCGUGGGGAGCAAACAGG
rnacentral:rRNA from 1 species